rnacentral:lncRNA from 1 species
GGAGGAUGUGUCCUCUGUGCAGCCUUCUCUCUUGCCGUCCCCGUAGCCACCUCCUGCCAAACACAGGAACACACAAGGCCUAACUGGCUCGUGGGUCAGUCAACCCCGCGUCCAUGUGGGCUCUACCUCCCAGUGUGAGUUUAUACGAAAUGGGAUUAAAGGGCGAGGAUCAGAAGGGAAGACAGAGGUAGGUGAGCCUCUGUGGCCAGGUAAAUGCUGAUGUUCUUCCCGCCAGUCCUUGAAGGGAGCCCCGGGCUGGUCCAGUGGGUACACAGGGACCUAUUUCCUGCUUGCUUUCGUCAGCUUCCUCAUCCUCAAUGGGAGGUCUCUGCUGGGCCUCCAUUUUCCUGGCCAGGCAGUGUUUGGAUCCUUCCUUCUCCAGGUACCAGGUGUCCUCCACGUUGCCAGAUGUGCCACUCAGAGCUGGCCCAGAGGAAGGAAGAGGAGGAGAGCUUCACUUACCAAGGGCUGCUGGCCCUCUGAUUCCCCUCUCCCUGCUCCCCAGACGCUGCCAUUAUUCAUUAACUGUUUACAUCCACACCCGUGGGCCACCCUGGUAGGGCAAGCUUCUACAAAUUUGGAGAAAUCAGACUUUUGAAAACUUGACUUCUUGGAAGCUGAUUCCCAGAGUCCCAACCUUCUCCACCUUGAUGUUUGCAAAUACAAGACACCGGGUGGUGUUCUUCCCAGGGGAUGGCGGUGGAGAGGGAAGUUAGACUUUUUGGUUCAAAGUACUUGGAUUUUUAAGUAGUGAAAACAUUAUGUAAACAGGAUGUUGUACUCAAAUUUUGUUUGCUUCCUUAGUUUUGAAAUGUCUCAGUUAUAAAAACACUGAAGGCUGUGCUAAACAUUAGAUCUGACGCAGCUUCAUGUAUAUAUUGCAGGCCGUAUAGUUUUACUAGCAUAGGGAUGAAUUUCAGUCUGCACCAUCUCUGUGCACAAGAAAUAUUUUCCUUUAUAAUUUAACUUUGGGAUCAAGGUCCCUUGGGGUGGUGGAAGUGAAGUCUGCCCAUCUGGGGUUUUCCAGCCCUUCUGGGGUUGUACUUAAUCUCAGGGGGAAGAUGGAGGGCUUGCUCAGUGCUUGCGACUUGGAUGUCUGUUCAGAAUUCUGAUGCUCUAGGCUUUGCUUUCCAGGCCUCUCAGGUCUCCUUGUCUCCCUGCCCAUUUCUUGACCUGUCUGUGGACCGAGUCACUGCUCCAUAUCUGUACCCAGUGUUCAUUCUGCCCCUUCCCUCCACACUCACUGGACGGGGGCAACCCCAUGAGGCUGGGAGUGAGGACACACCCAAGUGCUCCGCUGUUACUGCACCCCACAGGGACCCUGGGAGCACUGCAAGGCUGCCGUGGGACUUUAUCCACACGGGCAUGUCAACUUCGGGUCUUGCUAUUUCUCUUUCUCUCUCUGACACACACACACACACACACACACACACCAGGGAUUAAACCCAGGGACACUUAACCACAGAGCCUCACCCCCAGCCUUUUUAAAUUUUUUAUUUAUUUUGAGACAGGGUGUCCCUCAGUUGCAGAGACUGGCUUUGAACUUGCGAUCCUCCUGCCUCAGCUUCGUGCUGGGAUUAAAGGUGUGCUCCACCUGGCUGGUUAUUGCCAUCUCUGGAGGCUCCACCUGUGGCUUGGCCUGGGUCCAGGUUGGUGCCCAAUUCCAUUAUUUGCUCAGAGUCUCUCUUUAUCUGAGUCCCCACCUUUUAACUCUGAGUUUCCUCCUCUCUCCAGUUGGAAGACCACUUUUCCUCCCAGGGGCACAGGAGUUAGAAGGCUUCCACUUGGAACCUAGACCUGGGCGUCUCUGAAGCACUUCCUCUGCUGUGUGCUGCAACGUUGCUCACCUGAGCUCGUGGGUUCUGCUCUUUCUGGUUUCUCAGAUGAAGGAAAGCAACAAAAUGUCCCAACAAAUAUGGACGGGCAAUGCCAGUCAACUCUGAAGAGUGUUACCUGAAGCAAGUCACGUUCUUUUACAUGAACUCUGCUUACUAAAUGAUUACCAGCUGCAUGCGUACCUCUUGGACCUUACGGGACAAAAUGUCUGUAACACACCUUAUCUCCUUAAGGCCUAGCAAUUUAAGAACAAAGAGAUUUUUAAAAUGACCUGCCUGUGAGUGAAGAGCUUGAUCACUGUCUGCAAACCAAGCCCCUGUCAAUGCAGGUGAGAGGACACGCUGUCCGAGCAUGGGGGUGUUUCUCAGGUAGGUUUGGUGCUGUGUUCUGGGAUCCGUGUCCAGAGUUCAAAAUUACUACUUUACCUCUGACAGAAAGUAAUGGAGUCAUGAUUUCCCAAGGGGUUGGCCACCCCAAGUUCAGAUCCUAUUUUAAAUGGCAAAUCAUGGUUUAUAUGCAAACCUCAUUCAUAGAUAAACCAGUGUGGAAAGGGGUCUUCCAUAGAAGGUGCUGAUUAGCACUUUAUUAUCCAAAAAAAAAAAAGUAUCUGGAUGAGGCUCACCGUUCAGCCCCUCUCAGGAAGUCCCAGAAUUGAAUUUGGAUGAUUCGUGAGAGAUUAAGCCCACUAGGUUCUGGGAUCCCAUUGCCAGUUGAUUCCUGGGCUCAAGUUAUAGCUUUGCUCAUCCCUUCCCUCCAGAGUCCCCUCUAUCACCACGUCCACAACCUUCUGCAGGCAGAUCAAAGACUCAGGUGCCAGGUGACUGCUGGUUACCAUGCACGGGAAGCAGAGACUCACUUUGUUCGAAAUGGGCUGCCUAACAAGAGGCCUCCCCUCCUCCCAGGGUUUAAUGUACAGCUUUGCUGGAUUCUGUAAUUCUGGACUGAUUGAUUUUUAUCAUUUCUACUGGAAAAUAUUACAAUGCAAUCAGUAUUUUUUUUCCUUAAAUUGUAAAUUUGAUUGAGAGAACAUUACUCCAAAUCCAUCUUCCCACUCCAUCCACAGGGUCCAGGCAUGUGGCUGGUCAUGGAUAUGCCCCCAGGCCAUAUCAACAGAGAGUCUUGCUUGCAAAUCUCCCUCAAGGAAAAUUCAUGUUGGUUGCAGAGAUGACAUCACCCUGUACUCGGCUUGACUUUGUGAUCCCAGAGACUUGUCAGCUAUCACUUGUAUUCUGUGCAAGAACAUAAUUUACCUCAAGGCUUAGCAGAAAAAGCUUUAUCUUAUUGCUAGAUUUGCUUAAGAACAAUAUACGGUCUGCAUUUGUAGUCCAUACAUGGUAGUGUAGGAUUUAAAAUAGAGUUGUUCUUGGAAAUAACAGUUGGGGAAAAUGUCUUUUAACAUGUUAAUAAACUUAUGUUCUAUUUCAUUGCAGAAGGAGAGGUAAAGUGGCUUAAAAAUACGCUACUUCAACAUAAUAAACAUUUGAGCAAUAUCUAACAGGCAUUUUCAAGAAGCCGAAUAAAGGGCCAAGGGUCUGAAGUUAGCAGGGCUGAGUGGCAGCCUUUGUUGUUGGUGGGAGGUGGACCACAAAUUUGGUUCUGGGACUAAUGUGGCCAGAACAUUAGAUGCAAAUGAAAUUCACCCGAGUUGCAUCUUGAUAAGGCAUUUGCUGGUCAGUUUCUCAGGAAACAUGUAUCCCACCCAUGUUGGGAGAGGAACGAUUUUCUCCUUGAGUCGUCUCUGGGAACCUUUCUAUAGAGAAUGAGUGAACUCGCAGCCAGCUCUGAACAGGAGAAAUGCCAAGGCAUGUUCCCUGUUCCACAGACCACAAGUCAGCAAGGAACAGCAGGGCAGAGCAAAGAGAGAGCACCCUGCUUAGUCUUGGUGACGAUUCCCGCGUCAGGGACUGCUCCUUUUUUUCUGUACCCAUGGAUCCAGUGUAGAAGCUUGUCCCAGGAUCCAGCCAGCAAAUUGCAGAUGGGACUCAGCCCCCAGCAAAGUGAUUCCAACCAGUGAGACAAACAGCUGGAGAGCCUUCGGGGCACAGUUCCCAGGGCCAGCUGCAGUGCGGUGGGCAGUGCAUCCCUGCCCUAAAGGCUGCCCAGCAGGCUGCCACCUCACCUGGGCAGUCAAGCUGGGAAUUUCCCCUCUCCUGGGACGUGCAUGCGGCAGUGUCCUAGGGAAAGAAGCCCUGGGAAGAGAAGAGGGCGUGUACAGUAUUUUCCUGGCCGAUCCCUGGAGAAGAGGAUGCAGGACUGGAGGUCUGUCUCAUCUCUUCAAUUUUGUGGUCCCCUGUUUGUCGGGGCCACCCUGCACACGCGCUGAGCACACCCCCUUAGCCUUGAGUAGGGAGGGUAUUGGACCAGCAUUGCACGUGGUGCGAAGCAAGUGGGCUUUACCUUUGCUCGUCAAGGAAGUGCAGCUCUGGGCCUGGGCGUCACCCAAUGGGGUUGGACUACACCCCCUGAUUCUUGUAACAGUCGCUUGCCUUAUUUGGGUGGAAUAUUCUAUCGAAUGUCUUUUCCCUAAUAAACACAGAGGUUCCGGGUGCGCUUGCCCUCUUGCCUCUCUUGCUCUUCUUGCCCUUCAGCAUAGGAGCUGACCCCUGAGGUCACAGAGCUGUCCCUGACCCCCGAAAAGGUAUGUCCGCAUUUGUGUGGUCUUUUCCUUGCCAGCCCAAUUCUCGCAGAGUGACCCUGAAUCCAUCACCCACGUGGGACCCGGUUCAUAAAAUACCUGUUCAUAAAAUUGUGCUGUUGGGCUUGGGUGACAUGCUGCAAAGAUGAGUAAUAAGAUUUUGUCCUUGAGUCCACAGUUACCAAUGCUCUCUCCCCUCUAAGGGAUGACAAGCCUAUACAAAUUAAAUGGUAGAAUCCUGGUGCCUUAGAGCUGUAGGUUUGGACAGAGAGCAGGCACUGUCUUCAUGGCAACAACAGAGAGUCAUCAAUACUCUUCCCCAGAUUCAAGAAAUUGAAAAAUGUCAAUUCAUCUGCAAGCUGGAUCGGCAAGCUUGGAACCCUGGUGCAGCAGAUGGUGGCUUGCUCCCAGAUGCCAAGGGGACCCUGGGCUGAAACGCUCUGUGCUGACUCCUGACCUCCAUCCUGUGUUCACUUGGUCCAUCUGCCUCCAAGGCAGGUUGCCCGUGUAAGAACUGGACAAUCACUGUGGCUGCAGUUUGUCAAGCAGCUUCCUGGUGGCAGGCUGUGCUGCCUGGCCAUUUUGCAACCUGAAUGACCACCUCUGUGAGGCAGUACAGGCAAAGCAGAGCUGGUGGCAGCUGCCUAGGGCUUCAUCUGAAGUGACAGUGUCGGGCAAAUUCCAAGAGCAAUUAUUCAGCCUUGGCACCAGCCUGGGCUGGGGAUAGGCUCGCUCAAGUGCUUUUGACAUUCUAAAUACCAGGAGGUCUUUUUCCAUAGAAAGCUGAGACGGCUGUGCAAGGCAUCGGUACCACAGACAAUCACUCAGGCAGUGGAGAGGAAGCAGGUGGAACUAGAGGUACUGAAUACAAGUAAAAGGGGAUUUCUGCUUUUUUACUCUGCAAAUUUGAGGAUUCUAAAGGUUAGUGUCUCACUCUGUUGGGUGCCGCUGUCAUGAAAUAGCUGAAGCAGGUUAACAUAAUAAAUAAAAGAGGUUUAUUUUAACUCACAGUUCUAGAGGUCUCAGUCCAAGUGUCCAUACCGUGAUGGCUUUCUUGCUGGAAGUCUCGAGGCAGUGCAAGGCAUCCCCUGGCAAGAGUUGGGGGUGGCGGACACAAAUGCAUGUAUCUCCUCUGUUUCUCUCUCCCUCUUUUUAUAAAGGCACCAGAUUCAACCCUGGGAUUCCAUCCUGAUGGAUUUAGCUGAUCCUGACCAAGGGCCCCACCUCUUAACAAAAUCCUCUCUGGGUUCAGGGACUCCCAGGCCCUCUGGAGGUUAUAGUCCAGGUCUCAGCUAAAGGGACCCAAGCUGGGGGAUCCUCUCAGCAGCACUUGGUUCCUCCCUGGCUGUUGAUCUGAGCCUUCAUCCUCCUUAAUUCCUUGACCCUUGAGUUCCCAAAUUGACAGCUUGUUUUAUCAUAGCAAGCAGGGGUGAAGGGAGUACAGGAAGGAAGUCAGUCUUUCACAGCCUCAUCUCAUAAAUGGUGAGUUAUUGGUCCAGCCCCCCACGAGGAAGUGGGGAUUACGUGGGAGACAGGGUCCUUGGGAGGUACUGUAGAAGCUCCCAGCACAGAAACUAAUCGAUAUUUGACUGUGACUAUUAUUAUUCCUUACCUAGAAUUAUUUGGAAUAAAUUGAAGAUAGUAUAGCAAUAAAAUAGAAAUUGAUUUUUUUUUCCUGAAAAACACCAUGCUUGUGAUACUUUAUUGAAAUAAACUAUUGGGCUUAUU